GUCAAGUCAGCAUGACCCUUAUGUCCUGGGCGACACACACGCUACAAUGGCCGGUACAAAGGGCAGCCAACCCGCGAGGGGGAGCUAAUCCCAAAAAGCCGGUCGUAGUCCGGAUCGGAGUCUGCAACUCGACUCCGUGAAGUCGGAAUCGCUAGUAAUCGCGGAUCAGCAAUGCCGCGGUGAAUACGUUCCCGGGUCUU
rnacentral:rRNA from 1 species